GGCAUCUUCGCCAACAAGGCCAACAGCAAGGCCUGUCUGGAAGGGCUGAAAGCAGAGCAGCAGUGUCGCAAUGCCACCAGCCUCCUGGAGCACCAGCUCAACGGGAUCCAGCACAGGCUGCUGUCCUCGGAGAACCAGGCCAGCACCUGUAACCACACUGUGGUGAAGUUGACCAAAUCCUUGGAAAUGGCGAAGGCCGAAACCCUGAGCCAGCAAACGCGGAUACAGGAGCUUCAAAGAGAGAAUGAGGCAUUGAAGAAGAAGCUACAAGAUGCUCGGAUGGAGGUGGAGCAACUAAGGGGACAGGCUAGCGCCCACUCGACCGGGUCCAGAGUGUCGGACCAAGUCGUGGAGAAGUUUGCGCUGCUGGGUCUGUGCUGGGCGGCAAUGACACUGUACUUCUGAGACCCGGGGGCUGCAGCCUUAACACCUGGCCGGCUCCAACGUUGCCUGGAAGUGACACGGCUGGAGGCGACCUCAGGGGCAGAAAGGGCACAAGCGGCAGGGAGGGAGGGUAAAGGGAGAAGCGGGGGGGGGGGGUCUGCGGAGGAGUCAUGAAGUAGUCUGGGAUGGGCGACGUGGGAGCCAGAGGGGACAGGAUACUGCCUCCCCACCCCCACCCCAGAGCUGGAGUGAGUUCCGGGCUUGGACGGGGUAGGGGGCCGGGCACCCACUCUCUACCAUCAUGGUGUUUGAGGGGGUCACUUUGCUCUGGAAUCUUCCAGCUUUAACAAAUAAAGGCCUUACUCUC